GAUCACAUUCUGUGAAAUUUUGUUAUUAUCACAAUGUUGUAAGAACAGUUAACCUGCAUUUAUUGUGCUGUACUCAAUACUAUUGAAGUAAACAAACUUUUUAUCAUAGAGAAAUCCAGUGAGUGCUAUACAAUGGUUAAUAUUCAGACAUUUCUGUACUGUAUGCAAGCUUUAUGAAUUAUGUGUGUACCGUAUUAUGCCUGCUCAGGUUGAAAUCCCAACAAAAUACACGAAUCAGACCUGUGGACUGUGUGGGGACUUCAGUGAAGGACAAUGAAAGUGUUCAAUGAAAAUAAGCAGUUUAUGUGAACAGCUGCUUGUUCAUCCAGCCUUCAGCAGCUGCCACAGAGAUGGAGGACUAACAAGUUUUGUGGUUUGUGUGGGAACUUUAAUGACAUCCAGGCAGACGACUUCAAAACAAAAUUAGGACUAACAGAGGGCACAGGUGCAACGUUUGCCAACACAAGCCUAUGUCCAACUCUCCUGACGUUAGUAUGAAUGUGGAAAAAGAGAAAUAUGCCAGGGAAUGGUGUAACAUGCUUACUAAACCAAAGGGAGUCUUUUCACCCUGUCAUGCUGAAGUCAACCCAAAGGACUACAAAGACAGGUGUAUUUAUGAUACAUGCAACUGUGCCAAAAGUGAAGAGUGCAUGUGUGCAGCUGUGUCCUCCUAUGUAUAUGCGUGUGCCGCCAAAGGUAUGGAUACAGCUGGAGAAACGCCAUAUGCGAUUGUCCAGGCAAUAGGAGUACUACUACAGCCUGAGCAGUUGUGAGACCACCUGCCGCAGUGGAUAUGACUACACCUGUCAGGUGAUUCACACGCCUGUGGAUGGUUGUGACCCCCUCUCGGGUCAUCAGCAAGGAUAGGACUACAUGCAUAUGCACUCAAGGCAAGCUACCCUGCACUGGGCAGCAGCAAGUUCCAACUGCUCUGUGGACAGUGUAUAAGUGAAUCUGCAGACAGUGGUGGAUAAAUGCAUGAAUAUACCAACAAGUGGAUAAUUAAGUGUGUGAACCAAUGAAUGAAGAGGUAGAUCUUUUAUCAUGACUUUAAUGUUUUUAUUUUAUAGUUUUGUGUCCAUCCCACACAAUUCUGAAACUCCCUGAAAAAGUUUUAUAUUACACACCUUCUUAACCAGUACUUUAAGGCAUGAGCUCUGUGUGUUUCUGACCGUCUACCAUCAAAUGUAUACAAAUGUUUUGAACCAAAGAGAAGAGAUACAACUUAUUCUAUAUAACACAAUAGUGUUAUGAUGCAGACACAUGGAUAGAUGUCAAAACACAAACAGCAAAUUCACAAACACUGCAGAGAAAAACACAACAGCAAAAUCAAAUAACUGACAGCAAAUAGGUCAUUCCCCUGCAACUUACCUGGGCCCUGUCCAGUCACAUCAUGGAUUUACAUGAAAAAAUCAAGCAAGAAUUUCAAAUUAGUUUAUACAUCCAUACAAAAUUUCAGAGGUAUUAUCCAAUGAGUUUUUAGGUUUUGUCAAACUCCCUAGAUAAGAUCUCACUCAGGAGUCAUGGCAGAGAUGAGUCUGUCACUCUGGGUGCUACUUCACAGCUGUUUAGUGAGGGUUUUUUGUGUACA